rnacentral:rRNA from 1 species
UGAGGAACAUGACCUUCGGCGGGGGAGUAGCCGGCCCAACGGCCGGGUAAUACCGCAUACGCUCUUCUGGAGACAUCUCCUAGAGAGGAAACCCUUCGGGGCAAGACGAGGAGCUCGCGGCCUAUCAGCUAGUUGGUGGGGUAAUGGCCUACCAAGGCGACGACGGGUAGCCGGCCUGAGAGGGUGACCGGCCACACUGGGACUGAGACACGGCCCAGACUCCUACGGGGAGGCAG